rnacentral:rRNA from 1 species
AGAGUUUGAUCCUGGCUCAGGAUGAACGCUGGCGGCGUGCUUAACACAUGCAAGUCGAACGAUGACUUUUGUGCUUGCACAAAAUGAUUAGUGGCGAACGGGUGAGUAACACGUGAGUAACCUGCCCUUAACUUCGGGAUAAGCCUGGGAAACCGGGUCUAAUACCGGAUACGACGGAUUCCCGCAUGGGGGUCCGUGGAAAGCUUGAUGCGGUUUUGGAUGGACUCGCGGCCUAUCAGCUAGUUGGUUGGGGUAAUGGCCCACCAAGGCGACGACGGGUAGCCGGCCUGAGAGGGUGACCGGCCACACUGGGACUGAGACACGGCCCAGACUCCUACGGGAGGCAGCAGUGGGGAAUAUUGCACAAUGGGCGAAAGCCUGAUGCAGCGACGCCGCGUGAGGGACGAAGGCCUUCGGGUUGUAAACCUCUUUCAGCAGGGAAGAAGCGAAAGUGACGGUACCUGCAGAAGAAGCGCCGGCUAACUACGUGCCAGCAGCCGCGGUAAUACGUAGGGCGCAAGCGUUAUCCGGAAUUAUUGGGCGUAAAGAGCUCGUAGGCGGUUUGUCGCGUCUGCUGUGAAAGCCCGGGGCUCAUCCCCGGGUCUGCAGUGGGUACGGGCAGACUAGAGUGCAGUAGGGGAGACUGGAAUUCCUGGUGUAGCGGUGAAAUGCGCAGAUAUCAGGAGGAACACCGAUGGCGAAGGCAGGUCUCUGGGCUGUAACUGACGCUGAGGAGCGAAAGCAUGGGGAGCGAACAGGAUUAGAUACCCUGGUAGUCCACGCCGUAAACGAUGAGUGCUAAGUGUUAGGGGGUUUCCGCCCCUUAGUGCUGCAGCUAACGCAUUAAGCACUCCGCCUGGGGAGUACGGUCGCAAGACUGAAACUCAAAGGAAUUGACGGGGGCCCGCACAAGCGGUGGAGCAUGUGGUUUAAUUCGAAGCAACGCGAAGAACCUUACCAGGUCUUGACAUCCCGCUGACCGGCCUAGAGAUAGGCUUUUCCCUUCGGGGACAGCGGUGACAGGUGGUGCAUGGUUGUCGUCAGCUCGUGUCGUGAGAUGUUGGGUUAAGUCCCGCAACGAGCGCAACCCUUGAUCUUAGUUGCCAGCAUUCAGUUGGGCACUCUAAGGUGACUGCCGGUGAUAAACCGGAGGAAGGUGGGGAUGACGUCAAAUCAUCAUGCCCCUUAUGACCUGGGCUACACACGUGCUACAAUGGACGGUACAGAGGGUCGCAACCCCGCGAGGGUGAGCAAAUCCCAUAAAACCGUUCUCAGUUCGGAUUGUAGGCUGCAACUCGCCUACAUGAAGCCGGAAUCGCUAGUAAUCGUGGAUCAGCAUGCCACGGUGAAUACGUUCCCGGGCCUUGCACUCACCGCCCGUCAAG